CGUCAUAAUCAAAAGGUAGAUGUGAGUAGCGAUUAAGACAAUACCUCCUUUGCAAAGGGGUUGGUUGGAGCUGCAUAUCUGUUGCCUUGGCUGUUGAUAGUGGGGUCUGCACUUCCACCGAUGGCAUACAUUUCCCAGUGAGUGUAGUCGUUGUUCACCACAUGGAAAUAUCCAUGUCUGCACCUGCAUUAUUCAUAGUUCAUAGCAGCAUUAACAAAUGCAACUCUGCUACCAAGGCAAAAUCCGAUUUCAAUAUUGAAUAAUGUCAUAAGUAGGGUUGCUGUUUCUUGCAGCCAAGUUUUAUGUCCAGAACUCAUCCUAAUUGAAAUCGACAUAUCAGACAUGGGAAGCUAAAUAUGCCGGUUCUAGUUGAAAAAUUACCUUGGCAUUCUCUGGAUAAGUCCCUCUCCAAAGUGGUUGUAGGCAAUAGUCACUUGCAUUUGCUUGUCCCUGGUAUAAGAAUCGCUGUGGCCCAACAGCAUUACCUGAUUCAAUUGCAUAGAUAAAAAUGUCAGUAUCACAACUAAAAUAUAGAUGGAAGUAAAUAUUAAUCGGGAAGAGGCAUUAGACAUACUUCAUUGUGGUGGGUAAGGUGGUUGUUGGAGAUGGUAAUAGCAGUUGACCCCAUGACAGCAUCAACAAGACCAUCAGCACAAUUGGAGAGGGAAUUGUGAUCAACCCAGAUAUGGCUUGACCCGAAGAUGGAGAUAGCAUCACCAUCAGCCAUUGUCCUCCAUCCAAAGUGAGAUGGGGAGCUCCUCACCAAAGCAUUUCCUGUGGGCUUGCAGUCAUGGAUAUGCAGACCAUGAACUAUAACAUUUGUGACAAACUGGAUUGUAAUGCAUGCUCCAUUAGCAAUGUGGACAUUGACUCCACGGCCAUCAAUGGUCUUGAAGCUAUUCAUGAUAAGCUCCUGCUUCAAUUGGAUCACCAUGUCACGUUUGAACACAAUCCAGAGGGGCUCAUCCUGGAUGACAGCAUGGCGCAGAGUGCCGGGUCUGGGGUUAACGGGAUCAUCAUCAUUAGGAUCAGUGACAACAUAGAAGCGUCCAUCACGACCACCAAUGGCAUUUCUGCCAAAACCAAUUCCACAGUCUGCAAGACGCUUGCGGUUCUUUUGCCAGUUGGGAUCACAACGCCAGCAAUCAUCAAUGGGAUUUCCAGUUCCACAUGAGAAGUAGCCCAGCUUUCUCCUUUCAGUGCUGUUGCGGAUACUCCUGCAAUAUCCAAAGUGUUUCUACUAUUAACAUUACUGUCAAAAAAAAAAAUUGUUCAAACAUAAUUCAAGCAUGAUCAUGCCCCAGUGACAAACAAGCAGACAGAUAGUUCAUGUCAUAUUCAUGGUAAAGUGGGAUAGUAAUUUCCUAUAAAAUUUUAGUGAUGGUAAUUUCUGCCCAGUUUCCUUUUAUGUCGUAACUUGCUCAGCCUGGAAAUUGCAAGUAGUUUGUCCCAUUUAUGAAGACAAUUAGGUCACUAUCCAUAAAGAAUACAAUUGCUGGUUAACUGUUGUCCAUAAAUGAAAUCAGAGUAUAUGUGACAUUUUUAAUCCUUGUUUUUGUUCAAUAAUCAUAUUCCAUUUGUAAAAAGUAACCAAACAAUAUAACAAUCUAAAUCUUACCAAAUCAUUUCAGCCAAACAUCAUAAGAAGCUUAACAAUGCUUUCACUUUCACAAGAUCUUUCAAAAAAAUCUCCACAUAAAAGUAGUACUGAAAGUAACAAGAACAACAAUUAAAAAAGCAGGCAAAAAGGUGGGGUUCAAAAAGCCUAUGGCAUCUUUAUUGGAUGGCCUCCUUUGUUUGACACAAAAAUGUACUCCACCAUAUGAGUAACUUCACAAAGUGAAAUUCCAAAUCAACACAGACCAAGCUAUUAUCAAAUUCACUGGCUCUCAGCACCAGAUAAGGUAUUUAUUUAUGUUUAUGAGCAUCAGACACCAUGUGGGAUUGCAUAUGCUCAUGUGUAAACUCUAAACCAGUGAUUUAUAACAGAAAAGGUUCAUUUGAAAAUGCAAGCAAUCCCAAACACUAAACAAAACUGGUAAGCGGGUUCAAUUCAAAUCCGAAUUGGGUUAGUUGGGUUAGGUUCCAAUUCCCUCAAUAGGAGCACCAAUCACAGCUACAUUUCCCCCUUACCCACCAAAACUGAAUUAAAACUUCCCAGUACCAAAAAAUAAAAAUGAAUAUCACUAUCUACCAUCAUGUGCAUUACAGAGUCACACAUGCUCAAACCAGAAAAAAAAAAUAUAUAAUCAUAAUCAGAAAUAAAAUUGAGUAGGACCAUAUAUAAGUUAGCUGUCAUUAUCCAAUAGAGAAAGAGAGAACGCACAUGUCAACCAUGGCAGCAAUUUCAUCUGGGUUCUCAACUGCAUGCUUAUUCAACCCUCCAUCAUCAUUCUCAUUCACCCUGAAGAAUAUUCAAUCAACCAAAAAAUAAAAAAUAAUUAGCUCACAACAAAAAAAAGAAUUAGGUAAUUACAGUUUUAACCCCAUGUGAGUCCAAAACAUUUCACUCUCGGACCCAGGACCGUUGAGGGUGGGUGGGACCAAUCAGAGCGAGACACGUUUCGGUGGGAGACACGAUUCACUGUGGGGACUCUGCCCGAGAGGCGAGUGCAGACAGUGUCGAGUAGAAACGGUUAGGGGCGGUUAGUCGGCGGUGCGAAUCCCGUGACGAAAUUGCCCCCGAGGAUAAACAUGAUGAGGAGUGAGGUGAAGAGUGUAAAUUAGAGUCGGUGGUGAGGGUAAAAUUGGAAAUGCGGUGAAAGGAAGAAGGGUGGAAUCCGAGGGGAACGAACAUAACGGCCCAGAUCUAGGGAUCUGGAUCUCAACGGCUGUGAUUGCCAUGUACGGUUAACCCCAACGGCUCAGAAACGAGAAGGAACACACGCGACGGUUGAGAUCCGUCCACGUGGACAACAGUAGAAAACAAAACUGAAAAUAAUUAACUCUGGUUGGGUCAAAAGAAAACCCACCUGGGCGCCAUUGAUGAAUUGCUCGAGCUCUGCAACUCCUCCGUUCCACCAUUCCUUCACAACACAAAAGCAAAGCAAAGUAAGCAAAACGACGCCGUUUCAGUAACUCUUAAAGCCAAAACAGAAAUGCCUAAUUUGUAGGACCCGAACCCCCAAAAUUCCAAGAAAUUCUCAAUUUCUGAAGCUCGUUUUCACUAAAAGAACAACAAGAAGGAGAAUGCAGCUGAGAUUUUCUGCUCUGGAAAAAUUUGCCGCAGUAGUAAAAAAGAAGAGAGGUUAAAACCUGAGGAUAGGGGUACCGUCGAGGCUGACACGACCGGACAUUGCAGCGACGAAGCAGAACAGAAGAAGCACCGACACGCAGGCCGUAAUCCAUUUCUUAUUCUCCGAAACCGCCAUUGCUAUCUUUCUCUCUCUCUGUGAGUUAAUGUGAAGACACUGAGAGCUUGAGCACACAAAACGCAGUGUUUUAGUGUUUUGUGUGCAGAGCUAGAGAGAGAAGAGAGAAGAGCCAACAAAAAAACCCAAGUCAGAGAAUGAGCUCCCACAAUCACCCUCCUCUGCUUUAUAUACACACACAUGCACCCACGCACACUAGUACAGUCCUCUCCUCCUCCGGUCCCGUCUCGUUAACGCCGUUAACCGUUAACUCAGUACUACUCUUAACUAAUAACGCCGUAUCAUUUUUUCUCUUUUGGAUUAGGUUCACUUUCACCCAACAACCAAACAACCCCCACCACCAACAUUAACUGCUCUCCUACACCCCUUUCUAAUUUCUUCACUUUUUUACUUUUUACUUUUUCACUGUACCUCCCCUAACUAACUGUAUACGCCCUUCACAACCGACGGACUCCCUUUCACAUUGCCACGUCAGAAGAGGCCGUUACGGAGGAGAAGUACGGAUGGGAUGGGGUGGUCACGGGAACAGAUGUCACGGUAUUCUGCUGGUUCUGCGCCCUAUUUUAAUUUUUUUUUAAUUUUUAAUUUAAUAAUUAUUAAAAUUUGGGUAAUGGCGUGUUUGGGGUGGGAUUGUAAUUCCAGGCGCCAAUCACGGCCUUGUGGGUUUUUUGGUUUGACCCGCCCAUGAAUCAAGUAGUAGUAGCAUAGCUGAGAGAGGAACAAUCAGCUUAAUUAAAUUGUUUCUGUGGAAUUUAAGGCAUUGUUUGGUGGCAGUUUUGCGGGGCUUUCCUUCCCUUUAUUUUUGGGUUUGAUUUUGGAAGACCGGAACUAGAUGUACAAAUGACGCCUAGCUUAGAAUGGUAAUGAUGGGGUGUGAUUGUUUGCAUCAUGUGAAUGUGCUCCAUGUGAGCUUGAAUUCUUGUGAUGCGAUUUUGUUAGGGAUGUUCCAUUGAUCAUGUGUGCAUAUUUACAUCAACACUAAAUUUGAAAGGAACAUAAGAAGCCGGAGAUAGCUACAUGAAUCUAUCUAAGCAGUUGUAUGCUCGUGCCUUUCAUUCUUUCUUGUUGAUUGGUAUUUUUGUUUUCCGUUGUUCCAUCUUUUUUGUGUUUGCUUUCGUUUCGGUGAGUUUAUGUACUUCACACUAUUUUGUCAAACGCCUGAAAUCUCAUACUUUAAUCAGAAUAAAUAAUUAUUUGUGUCAUAAUACUCGUCGUAACUUCUACUUCCUAUUUUUGUACUCUUUUCUCAACUGUAAGUUAUAAUACGCCUUCUUAUAAUAUGUUAAAUCUGGUUAUUUAGGCAUGUGGAGAUUUUAGUACAUUUUACCUAACCAUAGAUUUUAGGCAGGAGAAAGUGAUUUAGGACACCAUAAAAUGAGAAAAUUGCUAUCCAUCCUUGUCAUGCAGGUAAAUGUAAAUUCUCAAAACUAAUGAAAGUUACACAUUUACAAUGACUAUGGGCAGUACAGUGAAUUUAGCUCUGAAUGUUAAAGCUUUCACACGUUACACGAAACUCUCAGUUGGAGGGUCAUGCUGUUUUUCGGUGAAGGGGGAAUUGAAGCCAUCAACUUCAAGCCAUAAAUGUACAAAAAAGAAGCCUCUGGAAAUUUAAUGCACAAGAACUUGUGGCUAAAGCAUCUUGUAAUUAAUUCCAACCCCUCCUCCCUUUAAUUCGUUAUAAAAUUUCACAAGCCAAUUAAUAGAGAAUAAAAUUGCAGGAAAAUUUAAUUCUAGAACUCUUUAGAAUGGUAAAACAACAAUUUCCUUAUUCCAUCCAGUGUCUUAUGACUCUUGUGAGUCUUAUCCUUGUAGGCAAUGGUGGACUUAGAAUUUUAGGUUGGGGUGGGCUGAAAUUUUUUUUUUUUUAAAGUUCUUUAAUUUGUUUUCUUCCAUAUUUUACAUAUCACAUUUUAGAUUAAAAACAUAUCAAAUAAUCACGUAGUUAACUGAUCAUUAAGAAAUCAAUAUUAUGACAGUUUAUAUAAAUUCGAUAAAAAAGUUAAAGAUAAAAGAACAUACAUACUCGAAUUGAACCCUACGCUCUUGAAUAGAAGCAAAAUCUAAUAACUAAGCGCACAAUCACCGCUAUAACAAUACAGUAAACGAGUGUAUAAUCCUUAAACUUAACAGGACGGAAAAACACAAUCUAAUAACUAUGAAUCAAACGUUGGUACGUACUAUUACAACCAUAUAUCUAUAUAUACACACAUCAUUAGCAUUAGUCAUCUACAAUAAAGGAAGCAAGCAAGCAAUUGAGAUUAGAAUUAGAAUAUCAAUAGAAAUACAGUGCGAUGGGAUGAUGGGAUAUUAAGACUAUCAAGACAUUAAUCAAUUGAGAUUUGAGAUGAUGGGAUAUUAGGACUAAAUUUGAUCAAGGCAUUAAUCAAUUGAGAUUUGAGAACUAGGUCAUAAGACACGUACAAGACUCCAAGAGAAUGACUGAUAUAACUAAGAAUCAUUAUCAAUCAUACCUGCAGAUUAAAGAAAGAAAGCUUGGCACUUGGCUUAGAAUUAGUAAACAAGCAAUUGAGAUUAGAAUUAGAAUAUCAAUAGAAAUACAGUGCGAUGAGAUGAUGGGAUAUUAAGACUAUCAAGGCAUUAAUCAAUUGAUGAGAUUUGAGAUGAUGGGAUAUUGAGACUAAAUUUGAUCAAGGCAUUAAUCAAUUGAGAUUUGAAAACUAGGUCAUAUGACAUGACACGCACAAGACCUUCCAAGAGGAUGACCGAUAUACCUAAGAAUCAUACAUGCAGAUUAAAGAGAGAAAACUAAGCACUUGGCUUAGCUGCUUCGGCAGAAGAGAAUAGAGACGUAUACAACGACAAAGAAAAUGAAAGGACUAAUUUCAGUUUACCCCCAUCAACUUUAGGUUGAUCAUCAUGUUAGUCAUUUUUCUUUCAAUUUCAUCAAAAACACCUAUUCACUUCCAAUUUCCAUCAGUCGUGUCUAAACAUCUGUUUUCCAUUCAAUUCCUCCGUCAUGUAAUAACUUGAUUAAGAAGAAAACCAAAUUUGAAGUCGUUGAGCCCAUAAAAAAAGGGCAAAAUAGACAAAUUUUAUUCAAUCCCACCAAAAUCACUAAGGUUAGGGGGUUGUGAUAGGAACAAAGAUGUGUAUCGAUAUGGGGAAAAAAUGGUCAGAAAUGUUAUUUUUUUCGAAAUUUAACUUUUUUCUUGAUGUCAUGUCAUCACUUGACGGAGGAAUUGGAUGGAGAACGGAAAUUUGGACACGGCUGAUGAAAAUUAAGAGUCGAGGGGUGUUUUUGAUAAAAUUAAAAGAAGAAGGACUAACAUGAUGAUCGACUUAAAGUUGAUGGAGGUAAACUGAAAUUAGUUAAAAAAGAAAUAAAGAGAAGAAAGUUGACCUAAAAAUACUAAAGGAGCAACUGCUUUUAAUAAAAUAAACAAUAUAUAUGUAAUCAGAUAAAAAAAAGAGGAAAUUUUUCAAAUGGUGCCUCAAGUUAAGUCCAUUCAUCAUUUUGACAUCUCAAUUUUGAAAACUAUAAUAAUGGAACCUCAACACUUAAACCCAACCCAACAUUAGUUCCCUCCGUAAUUGACACCGUUAAGUUGGACUUUAUCUAUAGGCAAAAUUGUCUUUUCAUGUUUUUCCUCCUCAAAUCUUUUCCCUCCACAUACAUUUCCCUCUAGAAUAAUGUCCAUUUUCCCAUUAGUAUCAGAAUUUAUGGGGAGCCAUGUGUUGGCUGCAUACAAAAAUUAGAGACAUCUAGAAAUUAUAAUACACCAUUGGCCAUUAAUAUCCAUAAUUAAAAGUAGUUUUUGCAACCCACCAGUGAGAGAAAAAAUCAAUAUUGAUUAAAAUGUAUUUUGUAUCAAAUACAGAAGUUCAUGAAACAUAUAUACUUAAUAGAACAAUUAAAGGUAACUAGGUAAUAGGAUUCACAUUCAUAUAUAACUGAUAUUUUCAGGUCGAGAAACUCUAAUUCAAUUGAUAAAGUUUGUGGAGGGAAAACAUUAAGAGACAAUUUUGCCCAUGGACAACAUCCAACUUAACGGUGUCAAUCACAGAAGGAACUAAUGUUUGGUUGGGUUUAAGUGUUGAGGUACCAUUAUCAUAGUUUUAAAGAUUGAGAUGUCAAAAUGAUGAACGGACUUAAUUUGGGGCAUCAUUUGAAAAUUUUCCUCAAAAAAAAAUCAUAUAGACUAAGUUCAAUUACAUAAAGAAAUUUGGGGUGGGCUGGUUUUCAUAAUUUAACUUUUUUAAUUAUAAAUAUGCAACAAAACAAUGUUUUCUCAAAAUCUGGGGUGGACUGUAGCCCACCGUAACCCGUGUGUAGGUACGUCUUUGCUUGUAGUCAUACAAUCGUGUCAAGCUAUGAAGUUAUUUUGCUACAUAUCCAAACUGUCCAAACAUAAGCUAACUUUUUACCAAUAACCCCGUACCGCCGUGUGAAGUACAAGCAAAAUAUAUGUAAUGUGACACUUAAAUUACAAAAAAUCAUAAAAAUAAAAAUUCAAUAAAUUUACGAGCCGUGGUUCCAAGACGUUCUAUAGUCAUUCUCUACCAGUUCUCAAAAUAAAUUCUAGGCACAUAUUCAGUAUAGCAUAUGACAAUGUGUUGACAACUUGACAUUCAUGGGCAUGUCAAUUUGGCAAGCAUUAGCCUUUGUAGGGGGUACCUCAACGGGGCUGUAAGGGGUACACAACUAUGAAAGAAAAGUUAUUUUAAAUAAAAACAAAAGCAACUAUAACAUGUUUUUGACCGAUCACCCUUUCGCAUACUAGUUUCGUAAUACGACUGUCCUACUAAAACAUCUCUCACUUGUCUUUUCAUGACAUUUGAAGUAAAAGAAGUGAUAUGCGAAGAACAUACAUACCUAAUCACCGUUGAGUUCCGAUUCCGUCCAAUUUAUUUACCAACCUCACAAAAGCAAGAAGAAGCUUCAUACAAAAAGUAAAAGUAAAAAAAGAGAAACAAAUCAAAGACCGGGUCUGACCGAAGAGGCGGGAGCACCCAAACUUUAAAAUGCUGUGUUCGUUGUUGGCCCCAAGAAAAUUGGCAAAAGUUUCUAGUUUGACUAAUAUUCAAGCUCAAGGGUAGUUUGGUAACUUUCCCUUUUUCCGACGGGAAAGAACCAAGUGGUGGGAAUCAUGUCAGCUCGGCCACGCUUUUGCGAUGCUAUUUAGGAGGAAAUAAUGAUGUAGUACAGAAAGGUACACAUGCACAUGAGACGACAAUGCAUCAUGAACUACUACUAGAACAACCACCGCCAUUGAUUGUAUGGACCAAUUUUGGUGGCAUGGGUGAUUUUUGUGCCCCCUUGACUUAGUUAACAAGCUUUCUUACUAUCAUUCACAUUGAUCAUUAGUCUACUUGUAGAUUAAAACAGGUAAGUUUGUUUGCUAAAUGUCAAGGGGUUGUUUACUUACCUGGAACGAGAGUUGAAGAGACUUCGAUUCCUAAUUUAGCAUUUGUUUCACGAGAGUUUAACGAUAUUUACAUACGCUAGACAUUAAAAUCAAUGAUAAUUUUUUUAUUUUCGUGUUUUAACAAAGAGUGUGGGUAAUGAAAAUGAUCUCGUCUUGAACCAAAUUUCCCAUGCCAUAAACACAUUGAGAGGUUGUUCAUAACCCAAAAGCACCCUCUUGUGUUUGCUUAGCAAACAAUAUUUUCUACCAAUUAAAAAACACCUCCAUGUUUUUCAAUAAUUCAAAUUCUCAUGCAUUUCUAUUCCAAUUUUAAAUUAGUGUCAGUAUCCCCGUUCGUAUAUUGUUCAAUUCCUUAUCAACCUCAUUCAAGGCUUGUUUUUUUUUUUUUUUUUUUGUUAGAAUAACCUAAUUCAAGUUCAGUGACCGCACUCAAAUUCAGAUGUUUUGAAGAAAAAUACCAAGGAAAAAUCAAGGGGGGAAUCAAAUUAGACUAAGGCACUAAGCUAAUGAUCGGUCCGCUAUCUCCAUGCAUGUCAUGCAUUUUUCUCUCAACAUGCAUUACUUAGAUUCUACAUUUAGCUAACUCAAUCACAUCGACUUUCAAGUAAGAACAAAUAAUUCUAGUAACAUUUCCAACCAACUUUUGCAUUUUCUUUCCCAGUCCACGUGAUCUCAUGGAGGAGACCGCUCAAUUUCUAGUUCAUAAUUUGAAAAUUGGCGCCCUAUUAUAAAAAUCAAAGAAUUUAAGAGAUUUUUUAGUGAUUUAAUUGUCAUCAAAUAAAUAAGCGAUUCUUCGUAAUAAUUAAUUUAAACGAAAAUUGAUAGACGAUCGAACAGUUUUCAAUCGUUUAAAGAUCGAGUAUUAUGAAAAUUGAUUGAUCCUACUCAUUAGAAUAAAGAAAAACGUGAUGGAGAAAGGUAAAGAACGCAAGAAAAAUAACAGUAAAUGAUUUUUAUCAAUCAUCAAAUAACUAAAAAAAACAAUUGCAAUUGGUGCUGCAUGCAAAGGGUUACAAUCGAUCAGAUUGGUCCACAAUGGUUGACAAUUAUGGGGGCAGUGCAGUGUCUUAAUCUUUGGUUAACCAAACCAUAAUGACUCGAGAUUAACCACUUCCAAAUUCAACUCCCUCUCCUGCCUUAGCUUUCUUUAAGAAUCACUUUUUCGGAUUGGUUAAUUCGUUGCGUUGAUGAGUACUGAGGUAAUUGAUAGGCUGAGGUCCACAUGCACCACCAUCGAGUUCAUACCUUGACAUACAAGCAACCAAGCUACCCAGAAUAUAUGCAUGAGAGAGAGAGAGAGAGAGAGAGAGAGAGAGAGAGAGAGAGAGAGAGAGAGAGAGAGAGAGUAGAGAAGAGAGNNNNNNNNNNNNNNNNNNNNNNNNNNNNNNNNNNNNNNNNNNNNNNNNNNNNNNNNNNNNNNNNNNNNNNNNNNNNNNNNNNNNNNNNNNNNNNNNNNNNNNNNNNNNNNNNNNNNNNNNNNNNNNNNNNNNNNNNNNNNNNNNNNNNNNNNNNNNNNNNNNNNNNNNNNNNNNNNNNNNNNNNNNNNNNNNNNNNNNNNNNNNNGAGAGAGAGAGAGAUUGGGGUCUCUGGGUUGGUGAUUAACAGUUGGGUUGUAUAUAUAUUUACUUAGUGGAAUCAUUUACAUAAUGAAAAGGGAAAGGGAGAGAGAUUUCGUAGGGCAAAGUAUGGUACCAAAAAAAUCUGGCGGGUGUAGACAAACAUACGAGUAAGUGGGUUGGCUUUUUUGCUUGCGCUUUUGUUUCACCUUUGCCCAAAGUAAUUGAGUUGCAGCCAGGACUUGACCAACCCCUUGAUUCGUGCUCUAUUGGAAAUGUUCGAAUGUUCUUUAAUCAGUGGAGCUGCCGAGUAUUUCGGCCAUUAACCUUUCUGUAAUUAGCUUGAUUGUCUUAUUUUUCCCUUCUUCUUUUUUUUUUUUCUGUUUUUUUUUGCUUCAGUGUUACACGCACUCUUUAUUUGGCAAUGACAGUGGGUUUGUUACUGGAAUAGAGCUCGAUCUGUUGGGUUAUUCGAGCGAAAGAAUAUAGGUGGUAACAUCCUUAAUUAGAAUGAGAUCAUGAACUACGUUAGGGAUUUUCUUAAGAGCAGUGCUUCUUGUUCUGGGAAAUUCGAAAGGGCAGUGUCGUACGUAUUGUUGGUGUUGUUUGCAGAGGCGGGUUUAGGUCAAAGACAGUUGCGCGCAGCGGCUACCGGUAACCGGCCAGUCUUCUUGAUGUGUCGUGUGUGGCGGUUUGGGGCCAAUCUUGGUUGUAGUGUGUACUCUAUACCAAACUACAGCGGUGCUUCACCCCAAACCGUUCAGAUUAUGGCCUUGGAACUCGGCCGGAUUCAGUUACAAACUCUAAACAUCGACCCUUAAUAAGUUUAGAAUCUAAAUCCUUACCCUAUAACGACGUUAAGUUGAUCAAAACAUUAACGUUAUACAAAGUUUGAAAGUAAUGGAUGAUCGAUGCUGUUCGUAUACAUAGGAAGGUAUUCUCUAUACGUUCAAUUUGUACACAUUUACGUGCAUACAAGGGCAUCUGGAAUGAAAUAAUCUUUGUAUAUCCAUUUGUUCUUGAGCCCCUGAACAACCAAAUUUGGGGUCAUUAGUUCACAUGGGAUGUUAGUUGAUGGUUUGCCCCAUUGAAAUUAAGGAAAAAUGGUGGAGCUAAUUUCAUUUUCGAUCAAGAGUGGCAUGUUGGCUGGUGGAUUAGGCAUAUAUUUCAAGGUAGGGUGGCUAACUUCAUGGACAAGGAUGGGGAUGAUAUGGAAAGCACCAAACAUUGAAUACCUAAACAUGCUACAUGCUACUGCUUACUUCAGAUUUUUAAGUGGAUUGUACUCUGUACAAAACCCUGUUGAUCGAUUUCAACAUCCACAAACAAUAUUAAUCUAAAUGGCUAUCCAAAUGGGAUGUGUUAGUUCGUUGUCUUCCCUACUUUUUCUAUCCAUGCAUGAUGGAGUUUCUGAGUUUCAAGUAUGGAAUGAGAUGUUGGCAAAAGCUUACCUAUCACCAAGUUGAGCAAACUAUUUGAUUUUUGUUGUGUGAACUGCAUGCCUAAAUGUGGUCGGAAUUGCAUAUAUAUGUCAAACUCAGUGCAUGUAUAUCUCCAGAUUUUGAUUUAUUGCCUAGAGAGCCUUAAUAAGGCCUAAGAUUUAUGGCCUUAAUCCUAUGUAGCAUGUCAUGUCACAUAGACACAUCAUCAAUUUAAUAAAUCAUGUCAUUUCAUUCAAAAGUAAAAAUACAAUCUUAACCUUAAUAAUUAAUGGAUGCUACAUACUAAUAUGGAAUAUUUUCUUACCCUUUUAAUAUGAAUGCAUAUAUACCAAAUUUAGUUAAUUUAUUAAUAAUAAUAACCAAGUUAAUAAUCAUACCAAAUUAGGCUUUUAUACCAUAAAUCAAUUUCGUAAAUUUCUUAAAUUCCUUCUAUCUUUGUGAUAUCUAUAUAUAAGCUAUAUUAUGUAUCGAAUUUUUAAAAUAAAAUAAAAAUAGGUAAAUCUCUAUCGAAUUUCUUUUGGANNNNNNNNNNNNNNNNNNNNGGACAUUUUACCUCAUUAUGGUGGAAAAGACGGUAGUAUAAAUAUAUACGUGUCAUAUCCCCUAUAUAAAUUAUUAUAUUUAUAUAGGGCUACGACGAUUGCGUCUAACGCUCACGUCGCACCAUAAUGGAAUUUUUACCUCAGUAUGGUGGAAAAGCACGUAUAACUAGCUAGCAUUCCUUCAUAUACAUAUUAUUCUCAUAAUCAUCCAAAUAUGGAUAUAUAUAUAUAUAUACACUCACCGAAAUUCUCGAUUUCGGUUAUUCUCCAACAAUGAUGAAAAUUGCCAAUUAUCAUAAAAAGCAAUACGCACACGACUCUACCGAAAAUCUCAUUUUCGGUAACUUUCCAAAUAACACGAUAGCCAUUAAAAAUGAGAACAUUUACUUCUGAAAAUGACUUCGCGAAAAUAAACAAUUCCAUAAAUUGAUAUUCAAUAAAAUCAAUCAUUUAAUGUAGAAUCACCGCAUGCAUAUAUUGUCACAUCCCGACCCUUAAAUUUUUACCUUAUUUACUAGAGUGAUUAUAAUAAGAAUUUUACCGUCUCGAUCAUUGAGUAAAUAGUUUAAUUGGUCCCUAGAGGGGUUUCGGGGACGAUUAUGUGCGGAGGAUUAUUCGUAUGAGGAAAAUACGACGACGGUAAAAAUGGUAAAUUUUAACUAGUAAAAGGUAAUUUUUAUUCGGGUAUUAUUUUUCGGGGUGUUUUUAUUUUGGAAGAGUGGGUUAUAAGUGGAUUGGACCGGUUUGGAGAGGCCCAAACCCAUCUCCCUCUUUUUCUCUUCUCCCUCUCUCCCGUUUUCUCCUUCCCUCCCCCGAGUUUUCUUCCUCCCACUGCCGGACUGUCCAGCCGCCAGCUGCCGCCGUCCGGCCAGCCACUGGCCGCCGCUCCACCCCAGUUCGGACCCCCAUCUCUUCCUCUCCCUCCCCGGCCUAGCCCCCGAGCCUCUAACCCGCAGGAAGAGGAGAAAACUCGUCGGAAACGCCGGGAAGCAUUUCGCCGGAACUCCCUCCCCCGGCCACCAAUCCGGGCAAGCUUGGUAUGGUUUUGUAGCCCUCCAACCCAGCAGCCUUGCCCUAAAAGGACUCACUCCCUCUUGAGCUAGGUAAGGAGAAAUUUGAGGUAGAAGUUUUAUGGUGUUUUUGAUGUUUUUAGUCGAUUGCCCUAGUUAGGCUUGGAAUUGGUGUUUGUGCUAGUUAUGAAAGUUGUAGAGCAUGAUGAGAGGAUUAUUCUGUCAAAAUUUCAUAGGUUUUGGAGGUCGCCGGAAUUGGCCUCCGGCCGCCGCUGCCGGCGGAGCCGCCGCCGGUUAGGAGAUUUUUAGGGUUUUAAGUGUGGAAUAUUAAGAGGAGUAUAUUGAUGUGAUUUAUGGAAUUUUUGGAUGAGAUUUGGAUAGGUUUGUGAAUUUCCGAAGUUUGGUAUUUUUGGCGGUUAAUUAAUGUAGAAUCCGGCCGUAGGAUUUAAGUCGUAUUUUGGGGAGGUUGUAUUUACGACUGUUGAGUAUGAUAUUUAAGUUCGGAUCGUUCCGAUUUAAGAAUAUCGAAGUUAGGUAAUANNNNNNNNNNNNNNNNNNNNUAUAUAUAUAGACACACACACACUUUAUUUUGGACGAAUUAUAUAUAUAUAUAUAUAUGUAAAAAAAUUCCUGGACAAAUUGUUUUUUCUUAGAGAAAUUAUAUAUGUAUAUAUAUUUCAUAAGAAUUCGUGUUUUUGAUCAAGUAUAUUCUCAUCAAAAUAUAUGUAUUUUCACACUAUAUGUUACGUUUAAUCUAAGCAUGAUAGUGAUGAAAAGAAAAAGAGAAAGAAAAUGCUACAAAUAUAUAUUUUUAAUUAUAAAAGAAAGACAAAUCAAUUUUUUUCUCUUAAUAAAAAGACAAAAUAAUCAAAAGUCAUUGGAUUUAUAAGGAUAAGAUUGUAUUUUUGCUUAAGAAUGACAUGGCAUAAUCUUUUUAAUUGGUGAUGUGUCUGGGUGACAUAGCAUGCCACCAAAGAUUAAGGCCAUAAAUCUUAGGCCUUAUUAAGGCCAAGAAUCAUUUUCCUUAAAAGUAUAGGGUGAGCCACCAUGGCUUUCUACAAUUUGAUCGAGGGCAGUAUUUAGUUUUGUCUAUCUAUCUAGCUUCGAGUCAUAGAAAUAUAAAACUCGUUUAUCCUUUUGAUUUUUUCUUUUUUAAUAAAUGACUGAUGCGGUUAUUUUUAAGUCUUCGUUACUGAAAAAGAAUUUUGACGGGGGAAUCGUUUAUCCUUCACUUAAUUAGAGCUUACUUAUAUAUUGAAAUUUUGAUACUAUAGAAAGAAAAGACGACUAUAUCGAUUCUCUAUAAAAUGGUUAUAUACAUCUGGUAAAUUUCAAGAACACGAUGAGACCUUGUUAGGAUUAAACGCAAGCAUCAAUAAUCAUAGAUUCAUAGGAUAUCUUCAUCAAAAUAAAUCAGAUAAAUAUCCUUCAAAUGACAUACAUUCCCCUUUUGUUCAUAAAUAUUCUGGUUGACAUGAUUAAUUUAUAAAAAUUUAGAUUCAUUCAAAUGUUCAGGGAAGAACGUACGUACUAUUGCUUCUAUCUCCUUAGGGUUUGCCUUAAUCAUCGAUCCUAAACUAUGCACUAUAAUAACAAAUUAAAAAAGGGGUUGUUAGCUAGCUAGAUUAAGUUUUUUAAUUAAUUAAUGAAAUAAUUGUGUAUGAAUGAUGGAAUAGCCCGACAUGAACAGACCCUUCGUCCAUACAUGUAUUGCAAACUAAGAUACCCAGCGAUGUUGUUAUCAAAUCCAGAUAAUUAGGUUUUGUUCUCGAUGAUACACACACACACACAUUAGCAAGCUGUAAUCGAAUGAUGUAUGAUGCAUCUUGUAAGUAGACCACAAAUUUUUGUCCCCAACAAUACACAAUUUGGUGCACAUCAGCACAUGGGAUUCAAAUCAUUCAAUUAUAGUUAUGAUCUUCUUGAAUAUAUAUUGGUGCACCACCACAAAUAAUAAUGCUACAUUAGCUAGCUUAGCUUGCUUCAAAUUAUGUGUUCGUUGGAGAAUCGAAUCACAUUUGAUUUAAUUGAUUAUAGGUUUCGAGGUAAAGUCUACUCUCUAUCUGUUGAGAUAUCGUUACAGUAGACUAAUUUCUUAUAUUCGUAGAUUAAUUAACUCGAUCUUUGUAGCCGUAGACAAACUCAAAUACUAAGCUGAAUCAAUAUGAUUAUGAAACCAGUAUCGAGUUGGUCUAUUUGAUGUAUCGAUAUAUGAACAAAACACGGAUAUAUGCAUCAAAUAGACUAACUCGAUACACUGUUCAUAUAUUUGGAUAACUACGUUGAUUUUAGAACGCAACCGAUCGAUCGAAUAUAUGCAUGCAUGCAAGUAAAGCUUUUGAUUUGUUGAGAGGUGACCAUCGAGCUACAGAGGCAGCAUGUUAGAGCUAGCCAUGCCAUGUGCAUGGUGGAACCAUGGAUAUAUACACCAGUUGUCACAUACCUUUUUCUUGUACGAGCCACAAUUCCAUUCGUGUAUUUUUGAGAAAAAUUUCAGGAAUAUCCAUCCUAGAUUAACCCUAAAGUAAUGAAAAGUGGAUAUAUCUUGUUAUUUCUCUUUUCGACUAAGACGUUCAUGUUCCUAGCUCACUUAUUUUUCUUGGAUCGAUCAACUUGAACAACCAUUAAGAGGUGUAGUUAAGCUGUUUAAGAUAUAGUUCAAUUCGAGCCAGAUCGAGUGGGUCUAAUAUUGUGUGAUAUGACUAAUAAGGUGUGUAUGACACAACAGAACGAUGCAUAUAGAAACUUGAUGUUGGCAUAGUGCUUGCAAGUUUGCGAAACGCUUGAGAUAGAUAUACAUAUAUGGAUAAAAAUACAAAAUGAGGAGCAUCACAUUUUACUUUCAAAGCGGUGUCCGGUAUUUGUAAUGGAACUUUAUAUAUAUAUAUAUAUAUAUAUAUAUAUAUAUANNNNNNNNNNNNNNNNNNNNAGCCCUAUAUAGACCCAUGAAUUUAUAUAGGGAGUAUGGACAAGUGUAAAUACAUACAUAUAUUAUAGAGUCUGAGAGGCUCGAUAUUUUAUGGGAUAAAAGUUGUAUCGCUUGCGGCAUGCAUUCGAUUUUUCCUUAGAAAUUAAUUUGGGGAAACAUAAAUAUUUUAUUUAUUAUUUUAUUUUUGUCCACUCACUCUAACGUUAUUAAAUUUUUUCCCCUGGGCCCUUCGUUUUAAAUUGCCCAGUCUGCAGAGUUCGGGUUGGAUCUAGUAGGAGACGAGGCAUAGUCACCCGCAUUUCUGCCAGUUUUCGUCAGUAGGUUACAUGUUCAACCUACUCGUGUUUUCUUUCUUCCGCUUGUGUUUAGUAGCUCUGAAUACUUUGGGAUUAUUGUAUAUUAUGUGUAGAAUUUCUGAAGGAUGAUUAUGUGAUGUUCGGAAGUGUUGAACUAAGAGUGUAAUAUGAAAUUUUCGAGUUAGGGUUGUCCAUCUGCAAGGGAGAUUUGCUUAAUCUUUUCAGUAAAUUUUCCUUGGAGGUGGUCCCCGCACGACUUACUCCGGGUUUCAGGGUGAAAUUUGGGGUGGGUCGUGUCAUAUAUUUUAAAACAAAAGUCCACUCACAACUUUCAGCCUAAGCCUGACGUCGAUCCGAUGCCUCUUCCACUCGAGCCUCCUCACGUCCUGAUCCAAACAUAUAAUUAAUUUCCCACUAAAAAUCCAAUAAUUAAACAAAAUGGGAAAAAUUAAACGUGAGCCUCCCACACACUCAUUAUUGCCCAACUUCGCCAUUCUUAACUCAAAACGGCUCAAACUUCACCGAACAUACCGGCAACCCUAAUUACAACUUCCCUCAUAAAAUGACUUAAAUCCUACGGCCGGAUUUUACAUUAUUCAACCGCCAAAAAUACCACACUUCGGAAAUUCAUAACCCUAUCCAAAACUCAUCCAAAAAUUUCAUAAUUCACUUCAAUAAACUCCCCUUAAUAAUCCAAAUUUAAAAACAUUAAAAUCUCCCAACCGGCGGCGGCCGGAGGCCGAUUCCGGCGACCUCCAAUGCCCACCAAAUUUUAACAGCAGAUUCUUCUCCACUCCCUUUACAACUUUCCUAACUAGCACAACCACAAAAUUCAAGCCUAGCUAGGGUAAUCGAACACAAACACCUAAAAAGCCCUAGGAUUUCAACUUCGAAUUUCUCCUUACCUAGCUCAAGAGGGAGUGAGCCCUUUGGAGGGAUUGAUGCACGGGAGGAGAGCUUCACAACGAGCCAAGACUCGCCGGCUAUGGCGGCCGGAGGAGGGAGCUCCGGCGAAUGGAGCAACCGGCUGCUAAGGGAGUUUCCUCCCCAUUCGGCGGCGUAACCGACCCGGUCACCAGCCCAGGCGAGGAGAGGAGGCGGCGGCAGUCCGAACGGGACCGGUGCGGCGACCUGGCUUGGCCAGACGGCGUCGGCGGGUGGAGGAUUCCGGCAGAGGAGGAGGGAGCUUGGGAGGGGAAGGAAAAGAAAAGAGAGAAGAAGAAAAAGAGGAGAAGAAGAGAAGAAAAGAGGAAAUAAAAAUGGGGUUUAGGCCUCACUCACCAACCCGGCCCAACACCACAAAUAUUACCUAACUCCACCAAUUUAACACCCCAAAACAAAAUACCCUAAUAAAAAUUACCUUUUACUAGCUAAAAUUUACUAAUUUUUACCGUCGUCAUAAUUUUCUCUUACAAAUAAUUGUCCCUUAAAACCCCUCUAGGGACUAAUUAAAACUAUAAACUCAUUUACCGUCGUCAUACUUACCUUUUACUAGCUAAAAUUUACUAAUUUUUACCGUCGUCAUAAUUUUCUCUUACGAAUAAUUGUCCCUUAAAACCCCCUAGGGACUAAUUAAAACUAUAAACUCAUUGACGGAGACGGUAAAAUUUUUAUUAUAACCAAGCUAGUAAAUAAGGUAAAAAUUUAAGGGUCGGGAUGUGACAUUAUUUCUUUUUCUUUGUCGUUGUAUACGUUUCCAUUCUCUUCUGCCGAAGCAGGUAAGCCAAGUGCCAAGUUUUCUCUCUUUAAUCUGCAGGUAUGAUUCUUAAUUAUAUCGGUCAUCCUCUUAAAGGGUCUUGUACGUGUCAUAUGACCUAGUUCUCAAAUCUCAAUUGAUUAAUAAUGUCUUGAUCAAAUUUAGUUCCAAUAUCCCAUCAUCUCAAAUCUCAAUUGAUUAAUGCCUUGAUAGUCUCAAUAUCUCAUCAUCCCAUCACACUGUAUUUCUAUUGAUAUUCUAAUUCUAAUCUCAAUAUAUUACUUGCUUACUAAUUCUAAGCCAAGUGUCAAGUUUUCUCUCUUUAAUCUGUAGGUAUGAUUCUUAGUUAUAUCGGUCAUCCUCUUGAAGUCUUGUACGUGUCAUAUGACCUUGUUCUCAAAUCUCAAUUGAUUAAUGCUUUGAUCAAAUUUAGUCGCAAUAUCUCAUCAUCUCAAAUUUCAAUUGAUUAAUGUCUUGAUAGUCUCAAUAUCUCAUCAUCCCAUCGCACUGUAUUUCUAUUAAUAUUCUAAUUCUAUUAUCAAUUGCUUACUUACUAAUUCUAAACCAAGUGUCAAACUUUAUCUAUUUAAUCUGCAUGUAUGAUUAUUAGUUAUAUUGGUCAUUCUCUUGGAGUCUUGUACGUGUCAUAUGACCUAGUUCUCAAAUCUCAAUUGAUUAAUGUUUUGAUCCAAUUUAGUCCCAAUAUCUCAUCAUCUCAAAUCUCAUGUGUAUCAGCAAGAGGGGCUAAUCCGAACGUGGUUUGUCUCCAUUCAAUUGAGAGGGAAGCCCCCGGGACGCUACGGUGCCUUAGCUGGUUCCCGAUCCUCCUUCAAAAGUGGGAAAGAGAGGCGGAAGGCGCCCCUUCCAAACAAUGAAAAAAAUCCGAGGAACUUCGAAGCUUAUAGGGCCUCCUCUUGUAAGCUAGCUCCAUUCGAUCGAUCGCUUCCGUUCAUAAUAGAUUGGUUGUGAAUUAAUUGAUUAAUGCCUUGAUAGUCUCAAUAUCCCAUCAUCCUAUCACACUGUAUUUCUAUUGAUAUUCUAAUUAUAAUCUCAAUUGCUUGCUUAUUUUAUUGUAGAUAACUAAUGCUUUUGAUGUGUAUAUAUAUAGAUAUAUAGUUGUAAUAGUACCAACAUUUGAUUCAUAGUUAUUAGAUUGUGUUUUUCCGUCCUGUUAGGUUUAAGGAUUAUACACUCGUUUACUGUAUUGUUAGAGCGGUGAUUGUGUGCUUAGUUAUUAGAUUUUGCUUCUAUUCAAGAGCGUAUGGUUCAAUUUGAGUAUGUUUGUUCUUUUAUCUUUAGCUUUUGUUAUCGAAUUUCUAUAAAAUGUUAAAAUAUUAAUUUCUUAAUGAUCAGUUAACUACGUGAUUAUUUGAUAUGUUUUUAAUCUAAAAUGUGAUAUGUAAAAUAUAGAAGAAAAAAAAAUAAAACAAUUUUAAGAAAAAAAUUUCAGUCCACCCCAACCUAAAAUCCUAGGUCCAACAUUGUGUGUGUGUGUAUAUAUUUAUAUAUACAGUCCGUUUCAGAUACGAACGUCCACACCGUAAACGGUGCGGACGUCCGCACCUGAUAACUGUUGUGUAUAUAUAUAUAUAUAUAUAUCAUGAAAUUAGAUUAAUUUAUAAUUAAUUUGAUCAAGAGAUUAACGUAAUCUUGUAAGGCUAUAACAUAUUCGAUCCUAUAAUGCAGUUCAUUGCAUUUAUAACUAGUACUGUCUAUGCAGCUUGUAAUCACAAGGAAGUAAAAGCUAGCGUCAGAGAUAGAUAGCGAAUUAGGGCUCUCUUGCAUACCCAAGAUGAAUUACCUACCCUACCUGGUCAUUGUUUGCCCAUAAUGCAACUCGAUCGAACACGGAACCAAAUUUGCCAACCAUCAAAUUUGGUGGUCANNNNN
rnacentral:lncRNA from 1 species